rfam:Arthrobacter gangotriensis Lz1y contig000013, whole genome shotgun sequence.
ACACCAUCCAGAGCGGCUGAGAGACCUGGCUCGUUGACGCCGCAGCAACCACUCCCGUCAUGGGAAGCCGGUGCUACCGCCAGGACCGAUGGAGA